AAGAGACAGCAGUCGCCGCGGUAAUACAGAGGGUGCGAGCGUUAAUCGGAUUUACUGGGCGUAAAGCGUGCGUAGGCGGCUUUUUAAGUCGGAUGUGAAAUCCCUGAGCUUAACUUAGGAAUUGCAUUCGAUACUGGGAAGCUAGAGUAUGGGAGAGGAUGGUAGAAUUCCAGGUGUAGCGGUGAAAUGCGUAGAGAUCUGGAGGAAUACCGAUGGCGAAGGCAGCCAUCUGGCCUAAUACUGACGCUGAGGUACGAAAGCAUGGGGAGCAAACAGGAUUAGAGACCCGAGUAGUCCCUGUCUCUUAUAC
rnacentral:rRNA from 1 species